rnacentral:lncRNA from 1 species
CGUCGUCGUCGUCGUCCGAAUACUUUUAGUUUUCGCACUCUAACUUUAGUAAAAGUGAAUAGAAAUCAAUGAAAUUUUAACACAAGGUUCAUGACCACAAAAGGAAGGUUGGGAUUGAUUUUGGGAGUUUUGGUCCCAACAUAUUAGGAAUUAGGGGCCAAAAAGGGCCCAAAUAAGCAUUUCUUGGUUUUCGCACUAUAACUUUAGUUUAAGUGAAUAGAAAUCUAUGAAAUUUUGACACAAGGUUUAUGACCACAAAAGGAAGGUUUGGAUUGAUUUUGGGAGUUUUGGUUCCAACAGUUUAGGAAUUAAGGGCCAAAAAAGGGCCCAAAUAAGCAUUAUUCUUGGUUUUCGCACAAUAACUUUAGUAUAAGUAAAUAGAAAUCAAUGAAAUUUUAACACAAGGUUUAUGACCACAAAAGGAAGGUUGGGAUUGAUUUUUGGAGUUGAGGUCACAACAGUUUAUGAAUUAGGGGCCAAAAAAGGGGCCCAAAUAAGCAUUAUUUUUGGUUUUUGCACCAUAACUUUAGUAUAAGUAAAUAGAAAUCUAUGAAAUUUAAACACAAGGUUUAUGACC